rnacentral:rRNA from 1 species
CAGUCGCCGCGGUAAUACGUAGGUGGCAAGCGUUGUCCGGAAUUAUUGGGCGUAAAGGGCUCGCAGGCGGUUUCUUAAGUCUGAUGUGAAAGCCCCCGGCUCAACCGGGGAGGGUCAUUGGAAACUGGGAAACUUGAGUGCAGAAGAGGAGAGUGGAAUUCCACGUGUAGCGGUGAAAUGCGUAGAGAUGUGGAGGAACACCAGUGGCGAAGGCGACUCUCUGGUCUGUAACUGACGCUGAGGAGCGAAAGCGUGGGGAGCGAACAGGAUUAGAUACCCGAUAGUCCCUGUCUCUUAUACA